AUUCUAUUAGUAUAUAAGUAUAUUUAACUUCCAAUUAAAAGGAUUAACUUUUAAAUAGAAUA
rnacentral:tRNA from 2 species